rnacentral:tmRNA from 1 species
GGGGAUGAAAUGGCUUCGACGGGGUGAUGGAGUUUGAAUGCUGCAUGUCGUGCUCAAUCGGUGGUGCACGUAAAUACAACCGGUAUGCAUUAUAAAUGCCAACAAUGAUUACGCAAUGGCUGCCUAAUUAGAUUACGCAGCCACAUCUUUCGGAAAGUUUGCCCGUCGGCAUUUUCGAAAGGUGUCGCAAAGAGACGGGCUGGUCCCGAUUUGCUUCACAGGAAGAAGGACGAGAAACAAACUGUGAAUCGGUUUAUGCCACCUGUCGUUUGGUCAAGCAUAAACUUAAAUUAAUAAAACGACUAAACAUGUAGAAGCUUCGAGCGAAGCUCUCCGGACGCGGGUUCGACUCCCGCCAUCUCCACAA